GGGUCUGAAUGCUUAUUGCACCACAUGUGUUUUUCUUUGAAACAAACUUGCUUUGGCGGUGGGCCCAGCCUGCCGCCAGAGGUCUAAACUUACAACCAAUUUUUUAUCAACUUGUCACACCAGAUUAUUACUAAUAGUCAAAACUUUCAACAACGGAUCUCUUGGUUCUCGCAUCGAUGAAGAACGCAGCGAAAUGCGAUACGUAAUAUGAAUUGCAGAUAUUCGUGAAUCAUCGAAUCUUUGAACGCACAUUGCGCCCUCUGGUAUUCCGGAGGGCAUGCCUGUUUGAGCGUCGUUUCUCCCUCAAACCGCUGGGUUUGGUGUUGAGCAAUACGACUUGGGUUUGCUUGAAAGACGGUAGUGGUAAGGCGGGAUCGCUUUGACAAUGGCUUAGGUCUAACCAAAAACAUUGCUUGCGGCGGUAACGUCUACCACGUAUAUCUUCAAACUUUGACCUCAAAUCAGGUAGGACUACCCGCUGAACUUAAGCAUAUCAAAAGCCGGAGGAA
rnacentral:rRNA from 1 species